rnacentral:misc_RNA from 1 species
AAUUCUCAACCUUUCGAGCUUUUUCUUUAAGAAGCUUUUGAAGGGCUUGGACUUGGGUGUUUUGCUGGUUCUGGCGAAUCAGCUCACCUUAAAUGUAUUAGCAAGAUAAAUCGCUGAAUCAUCUUUGAUAUGAUAAUUAUCUAUGUCAUUGACGACACAGUGCUUUUCCCGUCCAGGGGAAGGAUCUGGCUUCUAAUUGUCUUUUAAGACAACCUUAUGAAAU